rnacentral:rRNA from 1 species
UAACCUGCUAACUAGUUGCCUCUACUUUUGGUAGGGGUGCACUUCUUAGAGGGACUGACUACGCUUAGUAGUCGGAAGUUUGAGGCAAUAACAGGUCUGUGAUGCCCUUAGAUGUUCUGGGCUGCACGCGCGCUACACUGACAAAGCCAGCGAGUAUACCUUGGCCGAGAGGUCUGGGAAAUCUUGUAAAACUUUGUCGUGCUGGGGAUAGAUCAUUGCAAUUAUUGGUCUUGAACGAGGAAUUCCUAGUAAGCGCAAGUCAUCAGCUUGCGUUGAUUACGUCCCUGCCCUUUGUACACACCGCCCGUCGCU